CGGUUAACUUUCGAUCAAAAAUCCGGAAAAUGACAGAUAUAUCACGUAUCAUGAUAACACUGUUAAAACUGUAAACUUGUGUUGUUUAUAAUAUAAAUUCAAGUUCUUCGUGUACACAUUUCAUUUUAUUACUUCAAAAAAAAUUUUGGUGUAGAAAUUUCAGGGGAGGCAGUUGCCUCCCCUGCCUCAUAGGUAGUUACGGCCCUG
rnacentral:lncRNA from 1 species